GUAUAGUCAAUGUAUUUUGGAAAUCGAGACUUACGAUCAUUGAACUUGUCGAAACGUCCCACGUAUGAUCACCGACGCAGUGUCGCCUGUGCUAGGUUGCCAGCUCAGCACGUUUUUUGCAAUUUGUCCCCUGAAUAAUCCCUUGCGGUGGGACAUGCUGUCCACGUGCCCAGCCAAUUAAGUCCCUCGUGGUAUUAUUCUUCAGGGGGCAAAUUGCAAAAUUCCGCUCUGAGUUAGCAUAGGUGACGCACAUACGGUAGAAAUACAGUACAAUAUGUGGUAUAUUUCAUCAAGUUGAGUGACCGUAAGUUUUGAUUUUUAAAAUACAGUGACUAAAUUGAGAAUUGAAACCAAGUUCAGUGAACUUCAGUGGAU